GACGAACGCUGGCGGCGUGCUUAACACAUGCAAGUCGAGCGGUAAGGCCCUUUCGGGGGUACGACGAGCGGCGAACGGGUGAGUAACACGUGGGUGACCUGCCCUUAGUUCUGGGAUAAGCCUGGGAAACUGGGUCUAAUACCGGAUAUGACUCCAUAACGCAUGUUGUGGGGUGGGAAAGCCUUGUGCGGCUAGGGAUGGGCCCGCGGCCUAUCAGCUUGUUGGUGGGGUGAUGGCCUACCAAGGCGACGACGGGUAGCCGGCCUGAGAGGGCGACCGGCCACACUGGGACUGAGACACGGCCCAGACUCCUACGGGAGGCAGCAGUGGGGAAUCUUGCGCAAUGGGCGAAAGCCUGACGCAGCGACGCCGC
rnacentral:rRNA from 1 species